rnacentral:rRNA from 1 species
UUUUACAAUGAAGAGUUUGAUCCUGGCUCAGGAUGAACGCUAGCUACAGGCUUAACACAUGCAAGUCGAGGGGCAGCGGGAUUGAAGCUUGCUUCAAUUGCCGGCGACCGGCGCACGGGUGAGUAACGCGUAUCCAACCUUCCGUACACUCAGGGAUAGCCUUUCGAAAGAAAGAUUAAUACCUGAUGGUAUGAUGAGAUUGCAUGAUAUCAUCAUUAAAGAUUUAUCGGUGUACGAUGGGGAUGCGUUCCAUUAGNNNNNNNNNNACGAUGGGGAUGCGUUCCAUUAGGUAGUAGGCGGGGUAACGGCCCACCUAGCCAACGAUGGAUAGGGGUUCUGAGAGGAAGGUCCCCCACAUUGGAACUGAGACACGGUCCAAACUCCUACGGGAGGCAGCAGUGAGGAAUAUUGGUCAAUGGACGAGAGUCUGAACCAGCCAAGUAGCGUGAAGGAUGAAGGUCCUACGGAUUGUAAACUUCUUUUAUAAGGGAAUAAACCCUCCCACGUGUGGGAGCUUGUAUGUACCUUAUGAAUAAGCAUCGGCUAACUCCGUGCCAGCAGCCGCGGUAAUACGGAGGAUGCGAGCGUUAUCCGGAUUUA